ACAGGGAUUGCCCUAGUAACGGCGAGUGAAGCGGCAACAGCUCAAAUUUGAAAUCUGGCGUCUUCGGCGUCCGAGUUGUAAUUUGCAGAGGGCGCUUUGGCAUUGGCAGCGGUCCAAGUUCCUUGGAACAGGACGUCACAGAGGGUGAGAAUCCCGUACGUGGUCGCUAGCCUCUACCGUGUAAAGCCCCUUCGACGAGUCGAGUUGUUUGGGAAUGCAGCUCUAAAUGGGAGGUAAAUUUCUUCUAAAGCUAAAUACUGGCCAGAGACCGAUAGCGCACAAGUAGAGUGAUCGAAAGAUGAAAAGCACUUUGGAAAGAGAGUUAAAAAGCACGUGAAAUUGUUGAAAGGGAAGCGCUUGCAGCCAGACUUGCCUGUAGUUGCUCAUCCGGGUUUCUACCCGGUGCACUCUUCUACGGGCAGGCCAGCAUCAGUUUGGGCGGUUGGAUAAAGGUCUCUGUCAUGUACCUCCUUUCGGGGAGGCCUUAUAGGGGAGACGACAUGCAACCAGCCUGGACUGAGGUCCGCGCAUCUGCUAGGAUGCUGGCGUAAUGGCUGUAAGCGGCCCGUCUUGAAACACGGACCAAGGAGUCUAACAUCUAUGCGAGUGUUUGGGUGUCAAGCCCGAACGCGUAAUGAAAGUGAACGGAGGUGGGAACCUUUCGGGGUGCACCAUCGACCGAUCCUGAUGUCUUCGGAUGGAUUUGAGUAAGAGCAUAGCUGUUGGGACCCGAAAGAUGGUGAACUAUGCUUGAAUAGGGUGAAGCCAGAGGAAACUCUGGUGGAGGCUCGCAGCGGUUCUGACGUGCAAAUCGAUCGUCAAAUUUGGGCAUAGGGGCGAAAGACUAAUCGAACUAUCUAGUAGCUGGUUCCUGCCGAAGUUUCCCUCAGGAUAGCAGUAACGUUUUCAGUUUUAUGAGGUAAAGCGAAUGAUUAGAGGCCUGGGGGUUGAAACAACCUU
rnacentral:rRNA from 2 species